rnacentral:rRNA from 1 species
GAGGCAGCAGUGGGGAAUAUUGGACAAUGGGCGAAAGCCUGAUCCAGCGACGCCGCGUGGGUGAAGAAGGCCUGCGGGUUGUAAAGCCCUUUCGGUGGGGAAGAAAAGCCUCGACCUAACACGUCGGGGUCUUGACGUAACCCAUAGAAGAAGCACCGGCUAACUCUGUGCCAGCAGCCGCGGUAAUACAGAGGGUGCGAGCGUUAAUCGGAAUUACUGGGCGUAAAGCGCGCGUAGGCGGCUUUGCAAGUCGGGUGUGAAAUCCCCAGGCUUAACCUGGGAACUGCAUUCGAGACUGCAUUGCUAGAGUAUGGGAGAGGGAAGUGGAAUUUCAGGUGUAGCGGUGAAAUGCGUAGAUAUCUGAAGGAACAUCAGUGGCGAAAGCGACUUCCUGGACCAAUACUGACGCU